rnacentral:rRNA from 1 species
UACGGAGGGGGCUAGCGUUGUUCGGAAUUACUGGGCGUAAAGCGCACGUAGGCGGCUUUGCAAGUUAGAGGUGAAAGCCUGGGGCUCAACUCCAGAACUGCCUUUAAAACUGCAUCGCUUGAAUCCAGGAGAGGUGAGUGGAAUUCCGAGUGUAGAGGUGAAAUUCGUAGAUAUUCGGAAGAACACCAGUGGCGAAGGCGACUUACUGGACACAUAUUGACGCUGAGGUGCGAAAGCGUGGGGAGCAAACAGG